ensembl:lncRNA
UAAAGGCCAGGCUGUAAAUUCUCCUGCUCGCCUCAGUAGCGCCCGGAGAGUAAUGACCAAGGGAUUUCUCCUGGCGUGAACAGCACCUUAGUUGUCCCAGGUGUUUAAGCUGUGCUCAGAGUGGCAUAAUAGAGUGGCGACUGUUAAGUGCUUUCCCUGAUCAUCCUGUUGUGAAAAAUAAAAAAUAUUGCAAUUACGGAGCCACAAGGAUAAACAACAUCAAAACAUAAAAAAAACAAAUAGAAUGUGUUCUGGAUGACCUGUUUUGACAUCAGAGGACCAAAAUAUGAAGCUUGAUGGCACUUUAAAAAGCUUUGGGGCCUAAACAUUUGUCUUGUUGUCCCUGUGGAGAUGACUUUUCAAAUUCAAGCCAUCAAAAGUGUUUAUAUUUUUUUUUAGAGUUCCAAAAAUAGUUUUGACAUCUGAGGUCUGUUCUUUAAAGAAUCCCCUUGCUGGAACCUUUCCUCCCAUGACGAACUGAAAAAGCCACGGUGGAGCACUCUUCUCUUCGCAGAGAGUAGCCACUGAAAAUGACCAGACCUGCGUUAUCUUUUUAUCUUGGCGGCUUCCAUCGUGUUGCUGAUCAAAGGCGGAAGGAAAUGAAAGGUAGAGUGGAACAUAUCUCUCGGAGAGGCAGUGAUGUGAGAGCCAAUCACGCACGGCGAAUAACAAAGGAGCCCAAUGCCAAGGAGACACACAAUACUAUUCUAUUGAUUAGUCCAUCUAAUCCAUUGACAGAAGGCUGAGAUGGGAGAGGAUACAUCUGGACACAGGGAGAGUGGUCUAUUUAGUGGGAUUAAAUGGGCCUACUCGUAAACGACAGCGGCUCUCGGACAGAAGUGGGUCCUCAGCGCAUAGAACCAGAGCAUCUACACAGUUAGUUUGAAGACAGAAUUAGGAGAAUGUAUGAAGUCACGGUUGGGUGACAUGAAUUUGACAGGGUUAGGCCAAUGAUGAAAUAGUGGUUUAGGUGCUCACUGUGAAAAAGCAGAAAAGCUGUUGGUUGGCCUAUUUUUAAACAUUGGCAGGCGCUAUAGUUAAAUUGCACACAGGAGAAGGUAUUGUAACGUGCAAGAGCUCUCACAUUGCUGAGGGAAGAGACUUGGAGUGAUCCCAGCAUGCCAGGCGGUAGAAGGCUUGUUAGAGAACUGAAACUCACUGUUAACUGUGCUGUCUGUGUCAUAUGCCAUUAAAUGUCUGUGUGUGAUAGCCCCUGUGUUAGUUAGUGUAUCUGUGCAUCGCCAGCAUCUUUGCAAUGUCAAAGUAGACCAUCUCUGUCUUUCGUCUCACUCAGUGUGUAUCAGUGUUUUCUUGCCUGUUGCUUAAAAAAAAUAAAGGUUUGCAGCCACAAGACACGACGAUUGCAAGUUGUCUUCUUCGAAGAAUCCACUGACGCUACAGUACUGUACAUGCCAUGAAGUCAUGGCAAAAGUAGGACAGAAGAUAUAGAGUGGUGCAAUAUGAAAUGUUUGAAAGGACUGCACAUCCCAUGACAUGAUAUCUCAAUUUAUACUGCAUUGAUCUUCCAGUUUCAACAAUUGAAAAGCAUCUUUUGACCUCCACUGAGCUAUAUAAUUACAUCUGUACUGUAAAAGAGAACCCCUACAAAUCCUGUGUGCAUCCUUUAAAAAAAGAAAAAAAGAUCCUCUUUCCACAUGAAACACAACAAAUAUCUUGCACAUUUUUUUUCAGCUAUGACCACUGGCAAACAGCGAGAAGCUCCAUCUUUCUGCACUUGAGGCAGUGAGGGGAAUCUAAAGCUUACAUAACGUCCAUUUUAGCAGUGAGCUCUAGAUAACUGCAGGGCAUCUCUCCCUUUCACCAUACCAGCCACUGAUGUGUAAGACAGUAUAAUGUUAUCUAAACACGGCCCACUCAAGCCAAUUACUCUCUAUUAUUUCAUCACCUUCUGUGAUCUGCGCUUGACUUUAGAUCUGGACAGAUGCGGCCAAUAAUUGAUAGAGUGAGCAGUUCAAUACGUGAACGUGUCUAUUCCGGAAUCAAACAUAUUUCCAAAUAUAACUAUUGUGUACGUUUGUUUAUUGUGUGGUCGUGUGUAUAUAUCUGGAAGUCUUUGUUUCCCAAACAAUAAACUGAGGGUAUAAAAAAAAUAUAUAUAUAUUCUGGCCCUAUAUUUCCACAGACACAAAGUACUGUUUAGGGGCAAAGCAGCUAAGUCUGUUUAGUUAUUCUUUCAUGUCAUUUCCAUGAUUACUGUCACAGUUCAAAAGUUCAGUGCUGCUACCUGCUCGAUGAAAAUGACUUUGGAUCGAUGGAUAAAGCAAAGGCAUUGGGAUAUUGCUUCAGUGUCUUUCCAUCAUGAUAGACAUCCUGUUCAGCACGUUUCACCAUUAUCCAUGGGCUACUGGGAUAGAAUAUUAUUGGUUGGCUUCGAUCCACUGUGACAUCAGAUUCACAGAGAUUUCAAAGUAAUAUCCUUUUGUGUGUGUGUGAGAGAUCGACAGAGAUAGAGAGAGAGAGAGAGAGAGAAAGAAAGAGAGAGAGAGAAACCAAGACAGAAAGAAAGAUAGACAUAAUGAGGGAGAGCGUGGUCAGUGGCUU